GCCCCCAUAGUGUAGUCCGGCCAAUCAUGCAGCCUUCUCGAGGCUGAGACACGGGUUCAAAUCCCGUUGGGGGCA
rnacentral:tRNA from 1 species